GGUCGCACAGAUGACUUUUCCGCGGGCUUUCGAUAGCGCUAUUUCAGGCCUGAUCCGGCAAACGAUCUUCGGAGAGCUGCAGUUAGUAGAGCACUAGAGCUGCACGUGUGCGACAGUAGUUGUACACACGGUCGACGCGAUCUUCUAUUAUUAGAAUAUACCUACAAUAACCCUGGAGGGUAGAAUAUAUCCAAGGUAGUCUAUGCCUACGUAAAAGCCAACUCAAGUAAACUUAAGAAUGGGUAACAGUAUUCUAAGUACCAUGGAGAGAAGAACAAAAUUUCCCUAAACUUGGACACUACUCCUUAACAAUAAGACUUGAACAGUUAUAUAAAGGGAAACUACCAUAUUAAUACCCCUAGUUAGAUAUCCAAGGGUGAGAGCUGCUUUGAAGAAUACACAUGAUAAAAAACAAAAUGCAGAAAAUAGGAACGUAGAACGUACGAACUAUAUUGAAAAAGGAAAGUUGAAAAAUACAGCAAAAAUAAAUAAAAUACAUAAAAUUUAAGAUUAAUUUAAAGAGUAAAAGUUGUUAAACAUGGAUCAUAAAUUUUAAGAAAAAAAAUAAACUUUUAUAUUAUAUAGUAAAUGAGAAAAAACCACCUUGCGCAUCGUUAUCAGCAGCGGAACACACGCUAAAACCAUUACUAUGACUUACAGCUAAAAUAGUGAAAUGUCGGGAAUGGUACGGAUGUGCUAUAAUUUUGACAAGUUUUCGUCUGUCACCCGGUGAGUUCUUAUUUGAAAAAUAGUAUAGAAGUCUUUGAUAUGUGGUAUUAGAAGUGUAUGAAAUUGGUAAGUUGGAUGAAUAGAAAAACAAAGGAAAUAUUUAAGUUCUAAAGUGAUACAUAACCUAUUGCUUGUAUAGAACUCUUGAAGAAAAAAGUACAUAACAUUAGAGUAGGGCGUUGAAAAAUUGUUGAACAUGAGCUGAGACAUCCAA